GUAAAGGCCGGAGCAUCCUAUUCACAUCAUGUUCAUACACACCAAACUGUUCGGUGAGCCCUGGUGCACGGAAGCAUCUGCAUCUGAUAUGUUUCUCCACUCUUUUAUUCAGGUCCUGUUAUAUUUUUUGAAUGGAAAGGAAGGAAGGAAAGACAGAAAUUGUACAGCUGUUGGCUUUCACAAACACAGUUGCCAGAAAAUUGUUAUGGCACAGUACAGAGGAGGCAGUUCAUCACUUAACCUAAUCCCACACUAUUUGGCCGUGUUCCGUCUGGCUGUACCCUGACACAUUGGAUCAAGAGACACAUCAAUGUACACUGAGAAAUAAUUGAAGAUAAAAAGAGAAACUAUUUUUCACAGCAGUAACAGAAUAUUUCCAGAUGAGAUUCUCAGUUAUUUUACACGAGCAACAAACAGUCCAUGUCUCAACAAAUCAUAUUUUAUUGAGUUGUAAUAAUAUAAAUAUCACUUCCUGUAUCCAUAUUUUGAAGAGGGUUGACUUGUCCUACUUCCAGUUUCUAAAUCUUAAUAAUCAAGCCAUAAGGCAGGCCAAUGCUACAGCUCUGGAAAUGAUAAUACCCAAAGCUGCAGGCAUGCAAAUAUCUGAAGGAGCGGUCAGUUUGUUGGAGGAUGUUUGUUAAUAUUGGAUCAUGUGAUUUCUGUCCACAAAGACAUCAACAGUUACGUUGGUUGACAUUCUACAUGUAUAGAAAAUAAACACAGAUCAUAUUAGGAACCUGUAAGGACUAUUUUUAUUUUGCCAUAAUUCUGCACUCCUACCUUUUUUUUUUUUUAUAAUAUAACCUGUCAGGUCCUUAUCUCAACCUCCUGCAGACUAAUGGAGAUUCACUGGCUGUUAUUUUAUACAGCCAGGUGUUAUCUGUCCAUCAUUAUCUGAGGCUAGUCAUGGCCUACAUAGUGUGGAAUCAGUUGGGUGUGUCUGUUUGUACCCUAAUAACUGCCAUGUUUAGUCCUGAUACAUCAAAGUAAAUAACAGUAUAUCCCCAAUUUCCAAGACCAACAGUUCCCAGUUGCCUUUUCUUAACCAGUUCUUAUACCGCGAGGUAUACCUCUGAUAUUUUAGUAGGCCUAGAUCCUUGAACUAAACUGGUCAGUCUGUGUGACAUAGUCUGGAAAGUUAUAAUCCAAAAUAUUCCUUUUCAUAUCACUGUUUCCUAAUAAUUUUAAAAACCACAUACAUGCCUAUAGUGCAGCUAGGAUUUUUUAAUGGAGGAACUGAUUCUCAAUUUGUGAUUGAUGCUUUCUGAAAUGUGAAAUGAGUUAAAAAGCAGUACUGCCUGGGGCAUCCUGGUGGACUGGAGGUUUAAGACGCUCGCAAUAUAAUUGCAACAUCCUCAAUUUGAGUAUGGCUGGCGAACUUUAAUGUGUGUCCCUCCCUCCUUAUUUCCUGACAGCUCUCUACUGUAUGCUGUCUAAGAAAAAAGACAAAAAAUCCCUAAAAUAAUACUAAUAAAAAAAAUGAAAGACAUAUUCAGCACCUAAUUCAGUGUCAGUGGAACUGUGCCAUGACUUGAGGAGAGACGUUCCUCUAUGAUGAGGCAGUAGCUAGGAGUUCUAGAAGUAAAUAAUUAUUGAUUGAACUGUCCUGGUCAAUAGAAAAAAUGGAUGUGAAUUCUGUUUUAGGUUGGGUUUUCUCUUUAGCUAGCCAGCCUGUCCACAUAUCUGGUUGGCAGAAAGACAGACUGACCGAAAGAAAAUUAUAGUCUCUGUACAUGAUUUAACCUCCAAAAAUAAACUCUGUUCUAUGAAACGCUGCCUGUAAGUCUGCACAUUUCCAGCGACUUACCACUUUUUAAAGAGGUUUGACCCCAUUUUCAAAAAUUUGAGGUGCAUUUUGGAUCACAGGUAACUAGGAGAAGCACAGACAUUUCUCUGAGGGACCUAGAGUUCAUUGGGAAAAUGUUCCUAAACAUGUAAAGGUUAAUGCAACGAUAAAAACAAUACUUUAACUUAAUUAAAUUGAAUAUUCAACAUUAAAACUAUUGCGUGAGAAAACAUGAGCAAACCCUCCAUUUGGUCACUGAUGAUCCUGGGUCAGUUGUACAGUGUAUGUAUCUGCCCUUACAAAAGUUUCACAACAUGAACCCUUAGGAGCCUACAGUCCAGUGGUGGUGUGGUGACAGUUCCUCCUUGCACUUUUCUUGGACAGUGCCACUUCUAAUCGACUAUUGCUACAUUCAGUUUAAUAUAUCUGGCUAAUAUCUGCUUACAUAGUGUUACGCUUCCACCUGUCACUUGUUAAAACUGUUGUUAACGUGUGGAACAAGUCAUCCUAGAAACGCUUGUAUUUAGACAGACGUAGUCUAUACUUACAUCAUACAUUUAGAAUUUCUUUGUACUGUCUGUAGUAAUGUGUAUUUCAAUUCAAAUAAACUAACUACAACUGAAAC